rnacentral:rRNA from 1 species
AUUGAACGCUGGCGGCAUGCCUUACACAUGCAAGUCGAACGGCAGCACGGGAGCAAUCCUGGUGGCGAGUGGCGAACGGGUGAGUAAUGUAUCGGAACGUGCCCAGUCGUGGGGGAUAACGUAGCGAAAGCUACGCUAAUACCGCAUACGAUCUAUGGAUGAAAGCGGGGGACCGUAAGGCCUCGCGCGAUUGGAGCGGCCGAUAUCAGAUUAGGUAGUUGGUGGGGUAAAGGCCUACCAAGCCGACGAUCUGUAGCUGGUCUGAGAGGACGACCAGCCACACUGGGACUGAGACACGGCCCAGACUCCUACGGGAGGCAGCAGUGGGGAAUUUUGGACAAUGGGCGCAAGCCUGAUCCAGCAAUGCCGCGUGCAGGAUGAAGGCCUUCGGGUUGUAAACUGCUUUUGUACGGAGCGAAAAGGCUCUCUCUAAUACAGGGGGCUCAUGACGGUACCGUAAGAAUAAGCACCGGCUAACUACGUGCCAGCCGCCGCAGUAAAAC